CCCGCACCGUCGGUUCACCGCCUGUCGGUGUUCAACUGGUGUGUAUGCGGGACGUCCUGCCGGUGGCGGUCCGGUUCCCCGUGGGUACGUAGGGGCGUCCUUGCGCACGCUUGCGUCGUCCCCGAAGGCCUGCGCGGUGUAUCCGGCCGCCUUUUCAAUCCCGUCGCGGUGCUCUUCACUGAGUGUCGAGGCGGGCCGGCACGUUUACUUUGAACAAAUUAGAGUGCUUUAAGCAGGCCCUGUCCCGCCUGUAUGUUGUGUGCAUGGAAUAAUGGAAUAGGACCUCGGUUCUAUUUUGUUGGUUUUCGGAAUCUGAGGUAAUGAUCAAUGGGGACAGGCGGGGGCAUUCGUAUUGCGACGUUAGAGGUGAAAUUCUUGGAUCGUCGCAAGACGGACCGAAGCGAAAGCAUUUGCCAAGUAUGUUCUCGUCGAUCAAGAACGAAAGUUAGAGGUUCGAAGGCGAUCAGAUACCGCCCUAGUUCUAACCAUAAACUAUGCCUGCCAGCGAUCCGCCGAAGUUCCUCCGAUGACUCGGCGGGCAGCUUCCGGGAAACCAGAGCUUUUGGGUUCCGGGGGAAGUAUGGUUGCAAAGCUGAAACUUAAAGGAAUUGACGGAAGGGCACCACCAGGAGUGGAGCCUGCGGCUUAAUUUGACUCAACACGGGAAAACUCACCAGGCCCGGACACCGGAAGGAUUGACAGAUUGAGAGCUCUUUCUUGAUUCGGUGGGUGGUGGUGCAUGGCCGUUCUUAGUUGGUGGAGCGAUUUGUCUGGUUAAUUCCGAUAACGAACGAGACUCUAGCCUACUAACUAGGCGUACCCGGUAUCCACAAUCGUGCUACCGGCGGUCAAAUUUCUUCUUAGAGGGACAGGCGGCUUCUAGCCGCAAGAGACUGAGCAAUAACAGGUCUGUGAUGCCCUUAGAUGUCCUGGGCCGCACGCGCGCUACACUGAAGGAAUCAGCGUGUCUUCCCUGUCCGAAAGGACCGGGUAACCCGCUGAACCUCCUUUGUGCUAGGGAUUGGGGCUUGCAAUUGUUCCCCAUGAACGAGGAAUUCCCAGUAAGCGCGAGUCAUAAGCUCGCGUUGAUUACGUCCCUGCCCUUUGUACACACCGCCCGUCGCUACUACCGAUUGAAUGAUUUAGUGAGGUCUUCGGACUGGUGCGCGGAGGCCGCAUCCACGGUCUCCGAUGUUGCCGGAAAGAUGACCAAACUUGAUCAUUU
rnacentral:rRNA from 1 species